CCUACGGGGGGCAGCAGUGGGGAAUAUUGCACAAUGGGCGCAAGCCUGAUGCAGCCAUGCCGCGUGUGUGAAGAAGGCCUUCGGGUUGUAAAGCACUUUCAGCGGGGAGGAAGGCGUUAAGGUUUAUAACCUUGGCGAUUGACGUUACCCGCAGAAGAAGCACCGGCUAACUCCGUGCCAGCAGCCGCGGUAAUACGGAGGGUGCAAGCGUUAAUCGGAAUUACUGGGCGUAAAGCGCACGCAGGCGGUCUGUCAAGUCGGAUGUGAAAUCCCCGGGCUCAACCUGGGAACUGCAUUCGAAACUGGCAGGCUAGAGUCUUGUAGAGGGGGGUAGAAUUCCAGGUGUAGCGGUGAAAUGCGUAGAGAUCUGGAGGAAUACCGGUGGCGAAGGCGGCCCCCUGGACAAAGACUGACGCUCAGGUGCGAAAGCGUGGGGAGCAAACAGGAUUAGAUACCCUAGUAGUC
rnacentral:rRNA from 1 species